CACAAGCGGUGGAUUAUGUGGAUUAAUUCGAUGCAACGCGAAAAACUUACCUACCCUUGACAUGUCCUGAAGCCUGGAGACGAUCCGGGCGUGCCCGAAAGGGAACGGGAACACAGGUGCUGCAUGGCUGUCGUCAGCUCGUGUCGUGAGAUGUUGGGUUAAGUCCCGCAACGAGCGCAACCCUUGUCAUUAGUUGCUACAUUUAGUUGGGCACUCUAAUGAGACUGCCGGUGACAAACCGGAGGAAGGUGGGGAUGACGUCAAGUCCUCAUGGCCCUUAUGGGUAGGGCUUCACACGUAAUACAAUGGUCGGUACAGAGGGUUGCCAAGCCGCGAGGUGGAGCCAAUCCCAGAAAGCCGAUCGUAGUCCGGAUCGCAGUCUGCAACUCGACUGCGUGAAGUCGGAAUCGCUAGUAAUCGCGGAUCAGCAUGUCGCGGUGAAUACGUUCCCGGGUCUU
rnacentral:rRNA from 1 species